UACAGAGGGUGCUAGCGUUAAUCGGAAUUACUGGGCGUAAAGCGUGUGUAGGUGGUUGUAUAAGUUAGAUGUGACAUCCCCGGGCUUAACCUGGGAAUUGCGUUUAAGACUGUAUAGCUAGAGUACUGUAGAGGAUAGUGGAAUUUCCAGUGUAGCGGUGAAAGGCGUAGAUAUUGGAAGGAACACCAGUGGCGAAGGCGACUAUCUGGAUAGAUACUGACACUGAGACACGAAAGCGUGGGGAGCAAACAGG
rnacentral:rRNA from 1 species